rnacentral:rRNA from 1 species
UACGAGAGGCCCAAACGUUAUUCGGAAUUACUGGGCUUAAAGAGUGUGUAGGCGGUGCUCCCAGUCUGUUGUGAAAUCUCCCGGCUUAACUGGGAGGGUGCAGCGGAAACUAGAGUGCUAGAGGGUGGGAGAGGUAAGCGGAAUUCCUGGUGUAGCGGUGAAAUGCGUAGAUAUCAGGAGGAACACCUGUGGUGUAGACAGCUUACUGGACCACUUCUGACGCUGAGACACGAAAGCGUGGGUAGCAAACAGG